rnacentral:rRNA from 1 species
UACAGAGGUGGCAAGCGUUGCUCGGAAUUACUGGGCGUAAAGGGCGCGUAGGCGGAUAGUUUAGUCAGAGGUGAAAGCCCAGGGCUCAACCUUGGAACUGCCUUUGAUACUGGCUAUCUUGAGUUCGGGAGAGGUGAGUGGAAUGCCGAGUGUAGAGGUGAAAUUCGUAGAUAUUCGGCGGAACACCGGUGGCGAAGGCGACUCACUGGCCCGAUACUGACGCUGAGGCGCGAAAGCGUGGGGAGCAAACAGG